rnacentral:rRNA from 1 species
GACGAACGCUGGCGGCGCGCUUAACACAUGCAAGUCGAACGGAAAGGCCUGCUUUCCCUUGUGGAUUGCGGGUACUCGAGUGGCGAACGGGUGAGUAACACGUGAGUGAUCUGCCCCCAACUUGGGUAUAAGCCUGGGAAACUGGGUCUAAUUCCCGAUAGGACUGCAGGGUGGUGCCUGUGGUGGAAAACGAUUUUCUAGUGGUUGGGGAUGAGCUCGCGGCCUAUCAGCUUGUUGGUGGGGUAAUGGCCUACCAAGGCGGCGACGGGUAGCCGGCCUGGGAGGGUGGACGGCCACAUUGGGACUGAGAUACGGCCCAGACUCCUACGGGAGGCAGCAGUGGGGAAUAUGGCACAAUGGGCGGAAGCCUGAUGCAGCGACGCCGCGUGGGGGAUGACGGCCUUCGGGUUGUAGACUCCUUUCGACCGCGAGGAAGCCACCUGGUUGGAAGGGUGGUGACGGUAGUGGUAGAAGAAGCACCGGCUAACUACGUG